rnacentral:misc_RNA from 1 species
UCCCCGUUGGCCGGGGCAGUCUGAUUUGAAAAAUACAACAAAUCAUAAGGGUUGCGCUCGUUGCGGGACUUAACCCAACAUCUCACGACACGAGCUGACGACGGCCAUGCAGCACCUGUCACCAGGCUCCCGGAGGCACUCCACUGUUUCCAGCGGAUUCCUGGGAUGUCAAGCCUUGGUAAGGUUCUUCGCGUACCUUCGAAUUAAACCACAUGCUCCACCGCUUGUGCGGGUCCCCGUCAAUUCCUUUGAGUUUUAAUCUUGCGAUCGUACUCCCCAGGCGGGAUACUUAACGCGUUAGCUUCUUAGCACCGAGGGUCGAUACUCAAUACUAACAGUAUCCAUCGUUUACGGCGUGGACUAC